rnacentral:rRNA from 1 species
GAUGAACGCUGGCGGCGUGCCUAAUACAUGCAAGUCGAGCGAACAGACGAGGAGCUUGCUCCUCUGACGUUAGCGGCGGACGGGUGAGUAAAACGUGGAUAACCUACCUAUAAGACUGGGAUAACUUCGGGAAACCGGAGCUAAUACCGGAUAAUAUAUUGAACCGCAUGGUUCAAUAGUGAAAGACGGUUUUGCUGUCACUUAUAGAUGGAUCCGCGCCGCAUUAGCUAGUUGGUAAGGUAACGGCUUACCAAGGCGACGAUGCGUAGCCGACCUGAGAGGGUGAUCGGCCACACUGGAACUGAGACACGGUCCAGACUCCUACGGGAGGCAGCAGUAGGGAAUCUUCCGCAAUGGGCGAAAGCCUGACGGAGCAACGCCGCGUGAGUGAUGAAGGUCUUCGGAUCGUAAAACUCUGUUAUUAGGGGAGAACAAAUGUGUAAGUAACUAUGCACGUCUUGACGGUACCUAAUCAGAAAGCCACGGCUAACUACGUG